CUUGGCGACCAUAGCGUUUUGGAUCCACCUGAACCCAUUCCGAACUCAGAAGUGAAACGAAAUAGCGUCGAUGGUAGUGUGGGGUUUCCCCAUGUGAGAGUAGAACAUCGCCAGGC
rnacentral:rRNA from 1 species